UCUCAUAAAGACAGCUUCUAAUGCUGUUCCAAUGCUUAGCGUUGUUCACACGCCUCUGCAACCAAUCAGAGUAAGCCUCGAGCCUAUACUCCUUAUAAGCUUUUCCUUGGAUAGUUUCGCCGGAGCCUUUACUAGUGACAACGAAGGCAAAGAUGGUGAAACAGAGGACGAUGAGGAUUAAGAAGAACAUCACAAAGAGAUAGGACCAGAGAAGCCACGUCACUCUGCAACAAGAUCCAACGACUCCAGCGAUUGCGAUUAUCAUGAGGAAAACACCGAGAGCGAUCAUGGGUUUGUCGAGGAAUCUCUCGCAUUGCGUCGUGGCUUUAAGGCUGAGCCAGAUUCCGGUUGAGAGUAUGGGAACCGAGAGAAGGAAGACGAAGAAGUUGAGUAUUCCUACAAGACUGUUACUAAAACGUACCAUGGUGAUGAUUGAAGAAGAUUUGAAGAUUUGGAGAAACCAAAAAAG